UAUUUAUGAGUUGGGGUAAUGUUUAAUAUUUAGGAGUUGUGUAUGGAGUUAUAAUCCUAUACUAUUUUGACCAUGUGGAAUAAAACAUUCAGUGCAUAUGUAUGUGGUCAAUAAACGUGUGACGUGCAUGACUCCUUCUCUUUCAUGUGAAAUAGUUUCUAGGCACACUUAGCCAUAUAUUAUAUGGAUUACGUGGAUACAUAAAGAACUUUUUUACCGAGCCAUGGCGAAGAGAAAGGAUAUAACCGGAUGAAUUAGGAUGUAAAUGUUAGUUUCUUCAUUAUGUCAAAAUCAUUGUUAUUUACCUAAUUUGUUUUCCAAAUAUGGCUAGUACACAAAUAACCUCUAUAGUGAUUCUCUC
rnacentral:lncRNA from 1 species